rnacentral:rRNA from 1 species
UAAACGUCCCAGUUCGGAUUGUAGUCUGCAACCCGACUACAUGAAGCUGGAAUCGCUAGUAAUCGCGGAUCAGAAUGCCGCGGUGAAUACGUUCCCGGGCCUUGUACACACCGCCCGUCAAGUCAUGAAAGUGGGGUAGCACCCGAAGCCGGUGGCCCGACCCUCGUGGAGGGGAGCCGUCUAAGGUGAGACUCGUGAUUGGGACUAAGUCGUAACAAGGUAAC